ensembl:lncRNA
AUGCCCCAAUACCCUCGCCAGUCUCAGAUUGCUGGUUCAACAGGGCACCCAGACCAGUGCGCUUUGUGCGAAGCACUGUGGAGCGCCGCUGCGCUACAGCACUGGCCACUGGCUGCACCAGCCAAAACCUCUGCCUGGUGUCCCAUAUCUCUUUUAUACCUGGGAAUUUCCCCGAUUUGUGGGCAACAAAGAUCCAUCUGGAAAUGUGGCCCUGCCUCAUUCUCCGCACAUUCACCGAGAGCUUCAAUCCUGGGUUGUUCUCACUGCACCAACUUGAGUCCCUCCCAAUUUUUAUAUUAAUUAGAUAAUGGAGACUUCCAGUAUUCUCUCUCAAAGAGGGGAUGAUACAUAGGCCAGCACUUUUGAAUGCUAAAGUCUAGUCAUUAUUGCUGUUCAAUUUAGUUUUUUUGGUGGCCACAUAUUUUCUGUAGUUGUCUCAUUGUUUAAAUCCAUUGGUAAUUCUUGGUGUCCCUUCAAGUAACUCUUAGAACUGAUACACGGAAGUAUUUUGUAAUGUUUGCUAAAAUGGUCAAUAGCUCUCAGAAAAUUCCUCUAGAAUCCAAAGGCUAAAAUACAAUCAAGAUGCCUUUAAUAUCUUCAAGUGCCACUUUUCUUAUAUUUAUCUAUUGAAGUUUUGCUUACUUGGUAACAUGAGAUGGUCAUUGUUGAACAGCUCAUGAAACAUGAAUUUUCCAAAACUUUCCAAAUAGAUGUUGAACUUUCCAUCUAGUUCCAAAAACAACCAUUUCCAUGAAACUUAAACAGCAAAGUUAAGGAUGUUUAAGUUCGAUGGAACUUAAACAGCUGAAGAGGAUUGGCUGGCAACAACUCAAGAGGAUUCUUCCUUGAUAAACUGCUAUGUCAUUGGGCAAGAAUGAAGUUAAUGUACUUGUUACCUAUAAUGGUUCCCAUUUUCUCUUCUCCCAGCCCUCUGUGUGAACACUAUCUAUCUAUGGUUUAUGGCUGGUCCCAAACCCAGCAGCUUUGUCACCAGACAUGGAGGAUUUAAUCUGAGAAGUAGAGUGACCCAUGGAUUUCAUGGCUCAGUGAGGAAGAACUGGCUCAGAAGCCACAGCUCUAUUUUCCAGGGCAACAAGCAGCAGAAGAACUAAAAACUUAGAAAUUGUGGAAGUGAGAGUAGCAUAAAAGUUCUGAAAUAAGCUCUCUGUAUAUCUGUAGCUAACUUUUUUUUUUUAAUUGCAUUUUAGGUUUUGGGGUACAUGUGCAGAACAUGCAAGAUAGUUGCAUAGGUACACACAUGGCAAUGUGUUUUGCUGCCUUCCUCCCCUUCACCCACAUUUGGCAUUUCUCCCCAGGCUAUCCCUCCCCAGCUCCCCUGCCACUGUCUCUCCCCUAUUACCCCCAAUAGAUCCCAGUGUGUAGUACUCCCUUCUCUGUGUCCUCAUUUUUCAUCACCUGCCUAUGAGUGAGAAUAUGCGGUAUUUCAUUUUCUGUUCUUGUGUCAGUUUGCUGAGAAUGAUGUUCUCCAGAUUCAUCCAUGUCCCUACAAAUGACACGAACUCAUCAUUUCUGAUUGCUGCAUAAUAUUCCAUGGUGUAUAUAUGCCACAUCUUCCCAGUCCAGUCUAUCAUUGAUGGGCAUUUGGGUUGAUUCCAGGUCUUUGCUAUUGUGAACAGUGCUGCAAUGAACAUUCGUGUGCAUGUGUCCUUAUAGUAGAAUGAUUUAUAGUCCUUUGGAUAUAUACCCAGUAAUGGGAUUUCUGGGUCAAAUGGAAUUUCUAUUUCUAAGGCCUUAACUUUAAACUACAAAUGUUUGGGAGAGAUCUGAGAGAUUGUGGUUAAACAAAAAUGAAAAAGAAAUGAGAGCCAAUGAAGACGAGAAUUGGCUGCAACUUUGAGUAAAUUCCUCCAGGUACAUGUAAUUGAGUUCACAGAGAGGGAAAGCCUUAGAGGCAUGAAUCUCUCUCUUAUCAAAAUGUGCCCAUAUUAUGGGCUAAAAUCUAAACAUAAUCACAUAUGUGGCCUUUUGAGAACUAUAAUUAAAAAUAAAAAUAUGAAAAUAAUAGACAGUAACAGUACAUUUUGAGAGAGAUUUUAUCAUUUACCUUUUUUUUUAAUUUUUUAUUGGAAACGACUCUCAUAAAAAUAGAACAGUUGAAAGUUAUUACCAUUAAACAUUAUUAAAUUUGUUUAAGCAACACAUAAUUGAUGGAAAAUAUUGCACAGUAUUUUUGGGUUUUUAACGAAUCUAGAUAAAAUACAGAUAACAAUAGCACAAAAAAUGACAAAAUACAGCUGUGCCAAACAUAAUUCCUAUAAUUUACCAGAAUUAAGAGACUGCUAGCCUAAAAUAAACUGUGAUUAAGUCAAAGAAGCCUGUUGCAGCAGUCCCUGGAUCAACCACACACACAAAAAAAAAAAUUAAAAAAUUGAUGAUACACAUAGCUAAAAAUUCAGAAAAUAAAAUGAUAUACUAAAAAUAUUAACACAAAAGAAAGAAGUAACAGGAGUAAAAGCAUUAGGAAUAACAAUGAUGUGAGAUAUAAAUUUGUUUAAUACAGUUGCUAUCUUGACAUCCAUUUUUGAGUUUGACAUAGGCUGCGUACCUGUCACCUUUGGCUUAAAACUUCCCCUCCCUAUGUGAUUUUUUGCAAUAUAAUUCACUUGUUCCUCCAACCAAACCACCCACAGCUGCUGACAAUGGUAAAAUAUAAUGUUUAAUGCCAGAAUUAUGUAGAUAACUUCUGUCACACUCAAUCACUAAACUAGCUAAUCUACAACUCCUGUAUGAAUGUCUAAGGGAUAAUGAUCAAGGACCUUAAUGAAGGUGUAAGUUCCACAGGUCCUUUCAUGCUUCCUAUUCACUGCUUGAGUUCCCUGCCACAUCCGGACUUCCCAUUACCCCCAUAUUGGCACCUCUCAUCUCUCUGGGAUCUGUAAGUAAUGUCUUUCUUCAGUUUCAUGCAUUUUGUUUUCACCUCCUCAUUGUGUCUCAGUUAACCAGUGCAACUAAAUCUAAACCUAACCUUUCUGGUCAGUGUUAUGUCUUAGAGAGUAGUUUUAUUUUGAAAAGAAUAAAUUGAACACAGGUCAGACAAAAGCCACAAAGGCAUCUGACAAUAUAAACAAUUUUUUUGUGAGAAAGAUAUCUGGUCAUGGGUAAGACACUUAAGAAUUAGGCCAUCUGCUACAGCAAAAAAAAGAAAAAAGAAAAAAAAGAAAAAAAAGAAAGACACAUUAUUAAUGUACACAACAAAAUUCCUGCAAUUUCUGGUUAAGGCAGAACUAAAGCAUAGAGGCAUCAAAACCAAAAUAAAAACUAUAAUGAUAUAAAUCACAGCAAGACAUCUAGACACCAAAUCAAAAUAUCAAAAACCCUAUUGUAAUAAUUAUAUUAUUUAUCUUAAAGGUAUAUACUGAAUGCUUCAAAUGCUAAAAUCAGAGAUUAUCAGUCUGGUUAAGAGUCAAGAUACAACUAUAGGUCAUCCAAAAAAAAGAAGCAUUUUAAUUUCAGAGUCACAGAAAGAUGAAAUACAGGAAUAAAAAAUGACAUCAUUCAGUAAAAACAAUAAGAACUGGAGUAGAUAUAUUAAUAUAAGACAAUGUAGACUUUAAGACAAGGAAUAUUUUUACAUGUAAAGAGAGAUAUUUUAUAAUGACAAUAUCAUGAAACUACAGUUUCAAAAUA